rnacentral:rRNA from 1 species
UUCGAGUGGCGGACGGGUGAGUAACGCGUGGGUAACCUGCCUUACACAGGGGGAUAACACCUGGAAACAGGUGCUAAUACCGCAUAAGCGCACAGGGCCGCAUGGCCCGGUGUGAAAAACUCCGGUGGUGUAAGAUGGACCCGCGUCUGAUUAGCUUGUUGGCGGGGUAGGGGCCCACCAAGGCGACGAUCAGUAGCCGGCCUGAGAGGGUGGACGGCCACGUUGGGACUGAGACACGGCCCAAACUCCUACGGAAGGCAGCAG